rnacentral:rRNA from 1 species
AUUGAACGCUGGCGGCAUGCCUUACACAUGCAAGUCGAACGGCAGCGGACCUUCGGGUGCCGGCGAGUGGCGAACGGGUGAGUAAUGCGUCGGAACGUACCUUUCAGUGGGGGAUAACGUAGCGAAAGUUACGCUAAUACCGCAUAUUCUGUGAGCAGGAAAGCAGGGGAUCGCAAGACCUUGCGCUGAUCGGGCGGCCGAUGUCAGAUUAGCUAGUUGGUGAGGUAAAGGCUCACCAAGGCGACGAUCUGUAGCGGGUCUGAGAGGAUGAUCCGCCACACUGGAACUGAGACACGGUCCAGACUCCUACGGGAGGCAGCAGUGGGGAAUUUUGGACAAUGGGGGCAACCCUGAUCCAGCCAUGCCGCGUGAGUGAAGAAGGCCUUCGGGUUGUAAAGCUCUUUCGGCCGGGAAGAAAUCGCACGGGCUAAUACCCUGUGUGGAUGACGGUACCGGAAUAAGAAGCACCGGCUAACUACGUGCCAGCCGCCGCGGUAACAC